rnacentral:rRNA from 2 species
AACACAUGCAAGUCGAACGGUAACAGGAAGCAGCUUGCUGCUUUGCUGACGAGUGGCGGACGGGUGAGUAAUGUCUGGGAAACUGCCUGAUGGAGGGGGAUAACUACUGGAAACGGUGGCUAAUACCGCAUAACGUCGCAAGACCAAAGAGGGGGACCUUCGGGCCUCUUGCCAUCAGAUGUGCCCAGAUGGGAUUAGCUUGUUGGUGAGGUAACGGCUCACCAAGGCGACGAUCCCUAGCUGGUCUGAGAGGAUGACCAGCCACACUGGAACUGAGACACGGUCCAGACUCCUACGGGAGGCAGCAGUGGGGAAUAUUGCACAAUGGGCGCAAGCCUGAUGCAGCCAUGCCGCGUGUAUGAAGAAGGCCUUCGGGUUGUAAAGUACUUUCAGCGGGGAGGAAGGUGUUGUGGUUAAUAACCGCAGCAAUUGACGUUACCCGCAGAAGAAGCACCGGCUAACUCCGUGCCAGCAGCCGCGGUAAUACGGAGGGUGCAAGCGUUAAUCGGAAUUACUGGGCGUAAAGCGCACGCAGGCGGUCUGUCAAGUCGGAUGUGAAAUCCCCGGGCUCAACCUGGGAACUGCAUUCGAAACUGGCAGGCUUGAGUCUUGUAGAGGGGGGUAGAAUUCCAGGUGUAGCGGUGAAAUGCGUAGAGAUCUGGAGGAAUACCGGUGGCGAAGGCGGCCCCCUGGACAAAGACUGACGCUCAGGUGCGAAAGCGUGGGGAGCAAACAGGAUUAGAUACCCUGGUAGUCCACGCCGUAAACGAUGUCUACUUGGAGGUUGUGCCCUUGAGGCGUGGCUUCCGGAGCUAACGCGUUAAGUAGACCGCCUGGGGAGUACGGCCGCAAGGUUAAAACUCAAAUGAAUUGACGGGGGCCCGCACAAGCGGUGGAGCAUGUGGUUUAAUUCGAUGCAACGCGAAGAACCUUACCUGGUCUUGACAUCCACAGAAGAAUCCAGAGAUGGAUUUGUGCCUUCGGGAACUGUGAGACAGGUGCUGCAUGGCUGUCGUCAGCUCGUGUUGUGAAAUGUUGGGUUAAGUCCCGCAACGAGCGCAACCCUUAUCCUUUGUUGCCAGCGGUUAGGCCGGGAACUCAAAGGAGACUGCCAGUGAUAAACUGGAGGAAGGUGGGGAUGACGUCAAGUCAUCAUGGCCCUUACGACCAGGGCUACACACGUGCUACAAUGGCGCAUACAAAGAGAAGCGACCUCGCGAGAGCAAGCGGACCUCAUAAAGUGCGUCGUAGUCCGGAUUGGAGUCUGCAACUCGACUCCAUGAAGUCGGAAUCGCUAGUAAUCGUGGAUCAGAAUGCCACGGUGAAUACGUUCCCGGGCCUUGUACACACCGCCCGUCACACCAUGGGAGUGGGUUGCAAAAGAAGUAGGUAGCUUAACCUUCGGGAGGGCGCUUACCACUUUGUGAUUCAUGACUGGGGUGAAGUCGUAACAAGGUAACCGUAGGGGAACCUGCGGUUGGA